rnacentral:rRNA from 1 species
AGUGAACGCUGGCGGUAGGCCUAACACAUGCAAGUCGAACGGCAGCACAGUAAGAGCUUGCUCUUACGGGUGGCGAGUGGCGGACGGGUGAGGAAUACAUCGGAAUCUACUUUUUCGUGGGGGAUAACGUAGGGAAACUUACGCUAAUACCGCAUACGACCUACGGGUGAAAGCAGGGGAUCUUCGGACCUUGCGCGAUUGAAUGAGCCGAUGUCGGAUUAGCUAGUUGGCGGGGUAAAGGCCCACCAAGGCGACGAUCCGUAGCUGGUCUGAGAGGAUGAUCAGCCACACUGGAACUGAGACACGGUCCAGACUCCUACGGGAGGCAGCAGUGGGGAAUAUUGGACAAUGGGCGAAAGCCUGAUCCAGCCAUACCGCGUGGGUGAAGAAGGCCUUCGGGUUGUAAAGCCCUUUUGUUGGGAAAGAAAAGCAGAAGGUUAAUACCCCGCUGUUCUGACGGUACCCAAAGAAUAAGCACCGGCUAACUUCGUG